GCAAGUAUAUAGAGCUCAGUAUUAAACGGUUUACCUGAAUUUCAGCAGCCGUAGCCUUUUGUCUGAGUGGCCGAGAAAGAACACCAAUAAGCUCUGCAUGUUCCCCUAACACUGGGCUACCUUCCAUUCCCGGGAGACAACGGAUGUCAGCAAUCAGCAGUGCUUUAUUCAGAGAAUUAGGUGGGUAGCUGUUUGCGAUGGUUCCAACUGAUAUGCUAUUCGAAAAGUG
rnacentral:misc_RNA from 1 species